GGGAGGCAGCAGGCACGCAAAUUACCCACUCCCGGCCCGGGGAGGUAGUGACGAAAAAUAGCGAGACGGGACUCGUACGAGACCCCUUUAUCGGAAUGAGAGGGCACCAAAUCCUUUCGCGAGGAUCCAUUGGAGGGCAAGACUGGUGCCAGCCGCUGCGGUAACUCCAGCUCCAAUAGCGUAUAUUAAAGUUGUUGCGGUUAAAAAGCUCGUAGUUGGACAUCGGCCAGGGGCGGCAGGUCGUGGCCCUCUCCGGGUGGGGCCUGUCCGCUACCGGUCCACCUGCCGGUGGCACCCAACCCCGGGGAGGUUGAGAGAUCCCCCGGGGGGCGACCGGCAAGUUUACUUUGAUCGAAUCAGAGUGCUCAGAGCAGGCCACGGGCCCGGAUGAUAAUGCAUUGAAUAAUAGAAGAGGACCUCGGCUCGGCGUGGUUUUCUGAGCGCGAGGUAAUGAUAGAUUGGAGCGGACGGGGUCAUUCGUACUGCCGCGCUAGAGGUGAAAUUCAGAGAACGUGGCGAGACGCACGACGGCGAAAGCAUUUGUCAAGAACGCUUCCAUGAAUAAAGAACGAAGGUUCGGUGAUCAAAGGCGAUUAGAUACCGCUGUAGUUCUGACGGUAAACGAUGCCUCCUGGCGAUCCGGCCGCGUCAUGUGUAUUGGUCGCGCCGGGCAGCCCCCGGGAAACCAAAGCUUUCGGGCUCC
rnacentral:rRNA from 1 species